GAUGAACGCUGGCGGCGUGCCUAAUACAUGCAAGUCGAGCGAACAGACGAGGAGCUUGCUCCUCUGACGUUAGCGGCGGACGGGUGAGUAACACGUGGAUAACCUACCUAUAAGACUGGGAUAACUUCGGGAAACCGGAGCUAAUACCGGAUAAUAUAUUGAACCGCAUGGUUCAAUAGUGAAAGACGGUUUUGCUGUCACUUAUAGAUGGAUCCGCGCCGCAUUAGCUAGUUGGUAAGGUAACGGCUUACCAAGGCGACGAUGCGUAGCCGACCUGAGAGGGUGAUCGGCCACAAUGGAACUGAGACACGGUCCAGACUCCUACGGGAGGCAGCAGUAGGGAAUCUUCCGCAAUGGGCGAAAGCCUGACGGAGCAACGCCGCGUGAGUGAUGAAGGUCUUCGGAUCGUAAAACUCUGUCAUUAGGGAAGAACAAAUGUGUAAGUAACUAUGCACGUCUUGACGGUACCUAAUCAGAAAGCCACGGCUAACUACGU
rnacentral:rRNA from 1 species